rnacentral:lncRNA from 1 species
GCUGGGAUUACAGGCGUCGGCCACCGCGCCUGGCCCACAUUCUUUUUUUUCUGUGAAGUUAAGUGAAUAUAAUUUUUGAAAACCUAAAGUGGGUAGAGCCCACUUAGGGUUGGGUUCACUCUCCAGGGAGACAAACAGUGGUACUUUAAGGCACUUAGGGUAACAUCCUAGCCAAGCCAGGGGUGGCUAUCCACGGGGGAAAUUUCCUCCGAUGAGGAGGGGGAGAGCCUGCGUGAAGAUGCUGAGAGCAGAGGUGCAGGCCAAGUGGGUGGAGUUUGAUGUUUUCUGGGCAGCAGGGGGCAUAGGCUGGUGCAAGUUGCCAUUUCUGCUGAGCUUCCGGGGGACAGGGCCCACUGCCACAUUUCCCCUCAGUUUCCCCCAGAUCUUACACCAAAGGCGUUUUCCCUCAACUUUUCACUCUGAAACAUUUCAAACCUUCAGAGAACUUACAAGAAUUGUACAAUGACCACCUGUGUACCCUUCUCCCUGGAUUCACCAAUUGUUAACUCAUUGCUAAAUUCAUCCCUCUCUCUCUCUGUCUCUCUCUCUCCCGGAUUCUUUUCCUUUUCAUUUUGCUGAAGCUUGGAAGUUGUAGAUACCGUGGCCCAUUUCUUAGCCUCCCCCAGUACUUCAGCAUCGAUGUCUAAGAGUAGGAACAUUCUCCUACAUGGCCACAAUACAACUGUCACACUCAGGAGAUCUAACAUUGCCAGCCAAGUGGCUCCAUUUGUUUG